GCUUGUCUCAAAGAUUAAGCCAUGCAUGUCUAAGUAUAAACGACUUUAUACUGUGAAACUGCGAAUGGCUCAUUAUAUCAGUUAUAGUUUAUUUGAUGGUCCUUGCUACUUGGAUAACCGUAGUAAUUCUAGAGCUAAUACAUGCAUCAAGCCCCGACUUCUGGAAGGGGUGUAUUUAUUAGAUCCAACCAGCCCGGUUCGCCGGAGUCCCUGGUGAGUCAUAAUAACUGAGCGAAUCGCAUGGCCUUGUGCCGGCGAUGGUUCAUUCAAGUUUCUGCCCUAUCAGCUUUCGAUGGUAGGGUAUUGGCCUACCAUGGCGUUAACGGGUAACGGAGAAUUAGGGUUCGAUUCCGGAGAGGGAGCCUGAGAAACGGCUACCACAUCCAAGGAAGGCAGCAGG
rnacentral:rRNA from 1 species